rnacentral:rRNA from 1 species
CAAUGGACGCAAGUCUGACCCAGCCAUGCCGCGUGCAGGAUGAAGGCGUUAUGCGUUGUAAACUGCUUUUAUACAGGAAGAAACGACUCUUGCGAGAGGCAUUGACGGUACUGUAUGAAUAAGCACCGGCUAACUCCGUGCCAGCAGCCGCGGUAAUACGGAGGGUGCAAGCGUUGUCCGGAUUUAUUGGGUUUAAAGGGUGCGCAGGUGGUUUAUUAAGUCAGUGGUGAAAGACGGUCGCUCAACGAUUGCAGUGCCAUUGAAACUGGUAGACUUGAGUAAAGUAGAGGUGGGCGGAAUUGAUAGUGUAGCGGUGAAAUGCAUAGAUAUUAUCAAGAACUCCAAUUGCGUAGGCAGCUCACUUGGCUUUUACUGACACUCAUGCACGAAAGUGUGGGUAUCAAACAGGAUUAGAUACCCUGGUAGUCCACACUGUAAACGAUGAUAACUAGGUGUCGGCCGAAUCUGGUCGGUGCCACAGCGAAAGCGUUAAGUUAUCCA